rnacentral:rRNA from 1 species
CCUGACGCAGCGACGCCGCGUGAAGGAUGAAAUCUUUCGGGAUGUAAACUUCACAAGAACAGGAAGAAUAAGUGAAAGCUAAUACCUCUUACGAUGACGGUACUGUUUGUAAGCUCCGGCUAACUCCGUGCCAGCAGCCGCGGUAAUACGGGGGGAGCAAGCGUUGUUCGGAUUUACUGGGCGUAAAGGGCGCGUAGGCGGCGCAACAAGUCACUUGUGAAAUCUUCAGGCUUAACCUGAAGCGGCCAAGUGAUACUGUCGUGCUAGAGUGCGGAAGGGGCAACUGGAAUUCUUGGUUUAGCGGUGAAAUGCGUAGAUAUCAAGAGGAACACCUGCGGCGAAGGCGGGUUGCUGGGCCGACACUGACGCUGAGGCGCGAAAGCUAGGGGAGCGAACGGGAUUAGAUACCCCGGUAGUCCUAGCCUUAAACGAUGAAUGCUUGGUGUCCGAGGUUAGAUAGUCCUCGGGUGCCGUCGCUAACGCUUUAAGCAUUCCGCCUGGGGAGUACGGUCGCAAGACUGAAACUCAAAGGAAUUGACGG